UACGUAGGUGGCAAGCGUUGUCCGGAUUUAUUGGGUUUAAAGGGUGCGUAGGCGGCCCUGUAAGUCAGUGCUGAAAUAUCCCAGCUUAACUGGGAGGGUGGCAUUGAUACUGCGGGGCUAGAGCACAGACGAGGUAGGCGGAAUUGACGGUGUAGCGGUGAAAUGCUUAGAUAUCGUCAAGAACACCUAUAGCGAAGGCAGCUUACUAGGCUGUAACUGACGCUGAGGCACGAAAGUGUGGGGAUCAAACAGG
rnacentral:rRNA from 1 species